AGUUGCGGUCAUAUUUUCAGAUAAGCUCCCGAACCCGUCAGCUCUCGGUAGAUAAACCUGUACAAGCUUAAACAAGUACUGAGUUGAGAGAUCACUCGGAAACGUUAAGUACUGCAAUUU
rfam:Enterocytozoon hepatopenaei strain TH1 scaffold_00017, whole genome shotgun sequence.